GUUAUCUCGGCGGACGGGUGAGUAACGCGUGGGAACGUGCCCUCUGGUUCGGAAUAACUCAGGGAAACUUGAGCUAAUACCGGAUACGCCCUUUUGGGGAAAGGCUUGCUGCCAGAGGAUCGGCCCGCGUCUGAUUAGCUAGUUGGUUGGGGUAACGGCUCACCAAGGCGAUGAUCAGUAGGGGUUCUGAGAGGAUUGGCCCCCACAUGGGUACUGAGAUACGGACCCAACUCCUACGGGAGGCAGCAGUAGGGAAUAUUGGGCAAUGGAGGCAACUCUGACCCAGCCAUGCCGCGUGCAGGAUGAAGGCGCUCAGCGUUGUAAACUGCUUUUACUCAUGAAGAACUAUGGUCCUGCGGGAUUAUUUGACGGUAAUGAGGGAAUAAGCACCGGCUAACUCCGUGCCAGCAGCCGCGGUAAU
rnacentral:rRNA from 1 species